rnacentral:lncRNA from 1 species
CUUUUCUGAGCCUGUCAAGUCCUUCUUUUGACCCAUUUUGCCAAAGGAAAGGAAGUUGCUUAAUAAUUAUGCACACCUGAUAUAGGGUGUUGAUGUCAUUAGACCACACCCCUUUUCAUUACAGAGAUGCACAUCACCUAAUAUGCUUAAUUGGUAGUAGGCUUUCGAGCCUAUACAGCUUGGAGUAAGACAACAUGCAUAAAGAGGAUGAUGUGGUCAAAAUACUCAUUUGCCUAAUAAUUCUGCACUCCCUGUACAUUACAGCUUAGUGAUAACUUCACUGGCCACUCCUCAGAUGGCUGUUAGAGAUCCUUCCUGGGUCAUUGCUGCCUAAAAUGCAUCAUGCAACAUUCAGUGUCUCCUCCCUCAGCAUGCAGACACUGAACUUUCCUCAUAGAGAUUCAUUGAUUCAAUUCAUCUCUAUGAGGAGAUGCUGAUUGGCCAGGGCUGUGUUUGAAUUGUGCUGGCUCUGCCCCUGACUGAUCUAAUUAGCUCUAAACAUUACCGGGUGCAGUGCUCGGCAUCAGGCAAUAGGCUGCUGGGUCAAAAGUCAAAGGGAAACUAAGCACCAGAACAGCACCCUGUGGUUAUGGUGUCAGACGUCUCCGCCAGUAAUCUGUUGUGCCAUUUACCUUGCUGUGUUGGCUGCCAUUCUUCCACUGUAAAUUGGCAAAUAUUUCUAUAUGGGGAAGGGGGGGGCAGAGGUGGUAAUGGUAGGAUGCUUACGGACAUGCUUACCAGGAAAAAGCAUAAAUAAUGCAGUGUCCUAAUUCUCACAGGUACUUAAAAAUCACACUAAUCUCUUAUAUAGUUUUAGUAGCCUUGUGUCUGUGUUCUACCUCUGGCCCAGUUGCUUGGUGACCAAAAUACCCUUGAUACAUUGCAUGCGGUGAAUCUCUUAACCAUAGAAUUCUCAUAAUUUUCAAUAGCUGGAAUACCUACAUGUGGCCAGCAAGGGGCACUGUGACUGAAGAAAAGUAAUUUACUAUUGCUAAUGAAAAAAACUAUUUUAGAGCCUGAUAAUCUUUUAACACAACAGAAAAGUACACGUGCCUUAAUAAACCACAUAAGGUGUCUGUUCUAUAUAUAUAUUAUGUUUUUAUAAACAUUGAAAAGUGGCAAACUAAAAUUGAAACUUGUAUAAUAAAAGUCCAUAUAUUUGAGAAAACCUUUUUACGGUUGAUCUUGGGGCAUAGUAUAUGACUAUAACCGUUACCAUUGGGCUGGACCUUUUUGCAAAAUAGCAAAUUCCCUGCUCUCAGUGCAAUGUGGGUUAGCAGUAGAAAUGCUGGUCUUUAGAGGACAACUGUGAUCAUCAUCUUUUAUUAUUAUUAUUAAACAUAAUUAUAAUUUCAAAAAGUUUUGAAAAGAAAAAAAUAAAUAAACACACACCAAACCCAAAACCAAACACUGUCUGACCCAAGGUGCAUGAACAUGGCUGAAUGAUUCUGACACAUACCAGCCAACAUCAGCAGUCACAGAAUCUGAUUGCCAUAGGGGAUGCGCCAGGGAUGCAAUAAUAUAUAUAUAUAUAUUUUUUUUUUUAAUCGGCGGACUUGCCUGGGAAGAGGCAUGUCCACCCAACAGGCCGACAGACAAUUAUUUUAGCCGGCCCACUGAGGGCAGGCCCUGCAGGGUCCUAGUGCCGUGAACCAGUGUGAGUGCAUCUAAUGGUGUGCUUGUGCUAUAAUUAUUGGAGAUAGUUCCCUGGUGUUCCCAAAAGCAAGACACCAGGGUAGUAAAGCAGGACAGGACCUGAAAAAGUGUGACUGUCCCACUGAUAUCAAGAGACAUGUUACACUAAAGGUAGGGAUGAG